CUUCAGUUUUCAAACAGCUAACUUUUGGAGUGAUGAUACCUACAUAAAAGGGAAUUAUCAUUAAAACGGUGCUUGUUAGGAUGGUUUACUUUAAGAUAAGGCUUCAUAACAAGGGACUUAAACUGAGCAAAAAACUCAAAACCAGUGUGAGUUAACAAUGGAAUGUGCUAAAUCUCAGGCUUCCUUCUCUUGGCCAGAUUUUAAAACAAUCACAUUGAGAGCAACAAAGUUAACUGGUGAGCCAGUUUAAAGGGAACUGAAGUUUCUGAUAAAGUCCUUCCCUCUUGUCCAUGGGGGAUACAUUCCAAGACCCCAGUGGAUGCCUGAAGCCAUGGAUAGUACCAGACCUGAUUGCUGUCACUCUGGACACGUUUCUGUUGUCAGCUGAAGGAUGAGACAGUUUGUAAAUUUGGAAAGGAGCUUUUUGUUUCUCAUAAAGGGUUGCAGCCUGCAAAGCGGGCAUUCUGACAGGCUAGGAAGCAUAGCCUCUGGUCAGAAGCCAGAACACUUCAGAGGGGAAGAAUAAGACAGAAAUUUAUGCUGAAUGGGGUGGGUAAUAGGCAUAUUCAAUAAGCUAUAGGGGGAGUCAUGAAUAUUCAUGAAACGAGAACCAUGCGCACGCAAUUGAGAUUCACGGGUCCCAUGUUCAAAACAUGUUAGUGUUAGCAUGAUCCAAGGGCAGAGUUUUCUGGACUCUAAUGUGUUAAGCUGAAGCUGAGGACACGCAGGCCCUCACUGCACACCCCCCACAGGCUGGUGGAAUGCUGGUUUGUUGUUUCAUUGACAUCACAAAAGGGAGGGGUGGUGUCAGUCUGUUGGUUAAGUCCUAGGUGGAAUCUUCAGAAAGAACUGGCUUUUGUUCAGCCUUUAGGGAAGAAAGCCUGUGGCCUUUAGCAAGCAAGGAUGGGGGUGUAACCAGGCUCCUCGGACCUCCCAUCCCCUCACAGCCACAGACCCAGCUUUAAGGUUACUCUGGGGUCCCCUUGGCCAAGAGGAGGAUCUGUUCGUUUCCCAGAUGGAAGAUUCAUUCUUACUGCAGAUCUUAGCAAACUCAGCACAUGACUCUUUUUCUUUCCUCAUUAAGUCAAGAACUUUUGGCCUUUUCACUUAAAAGAAGCACUCUAAGGCUUCGCUUUGACAUACCCCAGUUGCCAGCAUCACUACUGUUUGGGACCAUUAGGAAGUAAAUUCAGGGAGACUUGAACACAAGCACUGCUUAUCUCGGAAGCUGAUCUGCUCACCGAGGUGGCCCUUGAGCAUGGACAGCCUGGAUCUGCUGGGUGAAGGGAGAAGUUAUGUCCAGGGUGGGACAGAGAGGACGGCGAGAGAUUUCCUCACUACUCAGAACAGCGGGAAAUUCAAAACUUAGGGAUUAUUUCUGAAAUUUUCCAUUUAAAAUUGACCAAGGGUAACUGAAACCAGAGAAAGCAAGACUGACGAUAAGGGAGGGGCCUCCUGUACUCCAAGAGCACUGAAUCCGGAAAAACUCAACACAUCGAUGGAGUCAUAUAUUUAAUUUUUUCUUAAAAGCCGCCCGCGGGGUAUUGUAGAAGCGCCGCGCUGCCAAUCACAGCUUGUGAUGUGACACGUUCAUUCUGCAAGUUUAAACUUCCCCUAGGUGUUUCUUUUCCUGUGUGACCGUCACAUGACUAGUUUUGUUGUGCAUUGUUGUAGAAGUUAACAUGUUUCCCUAUCAAAAGAG